UCGUUAGCUCAGUUGGUAGAGCAGAGGACUUUUAAUCCUAAGGUCAAGGGUUCGAGACCCUUACGA
rnacentral:tRNA from 1 species